rnacentral:rRNA from 1 species
UGCGCAGGCGGCCUGAUAAGUCAGGGGUGAAAUAUGCCGGCUCAACCGGCAAACUGCCCCUGAAACUGCCAGGCUUGAGUCCGGGAGAGGAAGGUGGAAUUCCUGGUGUAGCGGUGAAAUGCGUAAAUAUCAGGAGGAACACCGGUGGCGAAGGCGGCCUUCUGGCCCGGUACUGACGCUCAGGCACGAAAGCUAGGGGAGCGAACA